UACAGAGGGUGCGAGCGUUAAUCGGAAUUACUGGGCGUAAAGCGCACGUAGGUGGCGACGUAAGUCGGGUGUGAAAGCCCCGGGCUCAACCUGGGAAUUGCAUUCGAGACUGCAUUGCUGGAGUACGGAAGAGGAAGGCGGAAUUCCCGGUGUAGCGGUGAAAUGCGUAGAUAUCGGGAGGAACAUCAGGUGGCGAAGGCGGGUUCUCUGGGGACGGUACUGACGCUGAGACGCGAAAGCGUGGGGAGCGAAACAGG
rnacentral:rRNA from 1 species